GUGACUAGUAAGCUGCCUUGGUGGGUUGCUGAGUGGGCAGAGACCACGGGAGUAGCCUGGUUGGAGCCUGGUUGUUGGAGGGGCAGACCAACUGUCUCCCCUUUAGAUACACAGCUCUGCUGCUGGAGGGGUAGACCGACUGUCUCCCCUUUGGCUAAACAGCCCUGUUGCUGGGGGCAGGACCGACCGUCCCUACCCCCUGUGCUGUAAGUGCAGAGACCACGGUCCCAUCUGCACGGUUGUGGGGCUUACUGUCUCCCCCUUGUACGUUAAGCUGCUGCUGGGGAGAGGGGGUAACAAGCUCCUCUCCCAUAUAUACUUCCAGCCGCUGGGAAAGGAGACCGACUGUCUCUGCUCCCAAUACAGAGUCCUGCUGCUGGGGAAAGGAGACUGGGCU